UGUUAGAACCAAUAAGUUACUAGGACUCUUGUGAGCUAAUUCCAAUGAACCAACAAGAUAUUUAUCUUGUGAUGAACAGGUUUCAAGGUUCCAAAAGAUUCUGCAUUCUCUUGCAACAAGAGUGGCAAAAAUUCUACUGUAUAGAGCUGAAGAAAAGUUUCCUGAUGUAAGCGAAUGAAUUCUGAGUGUUUCGUGCUUGUGUGCACAGAUAUGAAUUGUAUUGUAUGUCAGUUGUGUUGGCCAAAGUAACUAAAUAUUUUGUGAAACACUUCUGUUUGUUUGCAUGAUCCACGUUGAGAGUUUCAUACACUUGGGUGAUAAUGGUUUGGGAUAUUAUUUAGGAGAGCAAUGAGUUCAAGGAGAGAGAUGUGGGUAAGUCAUGUAGUGCACAUGCAACAGUGAGAAAUGCAUACAAAGUUUUGAAGGGAAAACCUGAGAGAAGCAGACAACUUGGGAGACCUAAGUGUGGAUGGGGAGAUGCUAUUAAGAUAGAUUUGAAAUAAAUAAUUUGGAAGGGUUUGUGCUGUGUCUGUUUGCCUUAGUAUACAGAGUCAUGAUGUGCAUGUGUGAUCACAGUAAUGAGCCCUUUCUGGCUUUGUCAACAUAUCCUGUAUGCAUUCCUCUUCACCCCCAUGCUUGCUAAAUGAGCUGCCCAUCUCAACCUUCUGGACUUUAUCAUAUAAUUAUGCUUGGUGAAUGAAGGUUACAAGUUGUGGAGCUCUUCAUUAUGAUGUUUUUAGGUACCAAAAAAGGAGAUAUUUUCUGUACUGUUGCAGUGACUGUUAGUUCCUCGGGAAGCUCACUGAGUACUUUCUAGUGAUCAUGAGAGCUGUAGAGAAGAACAUCUGUACAGAACAGCUCUUAUGAGUUAGAUGUUAUUAAAAACAGCCAAAGCAAGGAGAGCAUACACUGGUUAAUGUAGGGUGUUGUGCAUCCAUUUCUGAGAAGGAUGUGAUGGUUUUUACAGAAUUGUACAAAUUUGGAGAAUGCUUUAGUGGUUCCACAUGGUGAGACAUACCCAACACCUCAUGAUGUCAAUCAGGCCAUGAAUGUAAAAGCUGAGGCAGUCUCAGAUGCAGAAGAGGAAGAGGAUCCUGUCCCAAUAACUUUUCCAGAAAUAAAGGCCGAACUAGAGGAAAAAUUCUUCACAUUUUCUUUGUCUGUCGCAUCCACGAAGCAGUGCUUUGGUACUACAUCAUGGAGUUCCCAGGAUCUAUAAAUGCUGAAGUUUAUCCAUUGUUUUCUGUCUCCCAUGCAGUCUGUAUCCAUGUAGUAACAUAGAGGUGUCAUUAUGUUGAGGAUUUGUAAGAGGAUAACUAAUGAUUCUCUAAAGAAUUGUGAAAAUGUGUGACUGAAUAUAGACAUGGGUUACCUGUUU